CCCAAAUCUAGUAUCUAUGGACUACUCCGUCUAUAUAUACUAUAUCUACAGAUAGUCUACCUUUUUACUCCCGAAAACUAUUAACUAUCCGUUUAUAGUGUGCUGAUGCGAUUUGGGAUAAACAUAUCGUUUAAGCAAAGUAUUCGAAAUAUCUUAUUAGAGAAAGAACCUGCCUAUAAAUCAACCGGCAGCCGGCCAAGUGCGGUGUGAUUGAAUCAAAUAUUUAGAUAAACGAAUGUACAAGUAAUUUAGAUUUAGAAACAAAGGAUCUGAUGAGGGAAUCGUACAAACGCAUCGCCAGUAACACGUCCUUUAUAUAGUUGUGGAAUGUACAUCUCUAAUCAUUACAACAGAUAUAUAAUGUGGUAGAGCCCAUAUGUGGUCAAGUUACUACAUCUCGAACGUGGGCUGGCUCGACCGGGAAAAAAACUACCCUCUCACAGAAGGUCGACUUGAAGUAGUUUUUAAAGGCUGCGUUUCAUCCAAUGACUGAGAGAGCCGCUUGCCCUUGCCUUAUUCUCACCCAUUCCUCUCCCGGGAUGUUGAUGUGUGCAAUGACCUUCUAUCCUGCAUCAGACUAAGUCUAAUUGGAGGUGAUAAGCGUCUCUCAUUGGCAUUGGAUGCAAAGAGACCCUGCAACUGCGAUUCGUAUCGGGGCCUUUCUGUUUAUCAUGCCAGCAACACACAAAACUCGACUCUCAAUUCAGCCCAAACGCAAUUCACCUCUUUUAAAGGAUGGUUGUUGAACCAUCAGCAUCCUUUCAUCCUUCCCUUCACCUUAAGGCUGACAACUCAUCCACAACACCAUGCUGCAGAUGUCCGUGGAUAACGGUAACAACCUCCCAUCAGUUUUAAAUUAAAAAAAAUACUUAGAUUCUGCAAGAUUGUCUUAUUUCAAGAUUUCUUCAUUGUUUAGAUCCAGAGUGGUUGUAGGAGUUAUUAUUCCAAGCGAUGUGUAACUCUAAUAUAAUUCCGCUAUAGCAUAUUUUAGACCAAACCAAAAACCUUUUAGAAAAGACUACAUAAUGCUCUGUCCUUUUUGCAAGUUUAAAAUCUAUUCCUUAUUAAUAAUCUUUAUAUUUAACACAUCAAAUCAAAUGUAAUUCUAUAAAUGUAGAUUAUAAUCUCAUAUAAGUUAGUUGGAGCGAUGUAUUAUUGCACCGACCUUUAUAUUACAAUAAUAUGAAGUCAUCGGUUCUUCGAUCGUUCUAUAAACAGUUUACACACACCAAGAAUUAUAAGACGUGUUUUAUAUACAAUAGAUAAUAUAAGAAUUACUUUAGCGUUUUAAUAA